UUAACAAGAAGGCAUUGGAUCCGGAUCUAACUAUCCAAAGCAUCCAUCUAUGACCAACUCAUAAUUUAUGUUUUAGAGGUAUCACAACUCAGUUGGGAUUAGUCACCACCUUGCAACCUUUUGGGUUUUAAGCAUCGUUAUAUUCUAAAUAGUUAACACUACCAUAUCAUCUCUACUAUAGAGACAAUCAAUUAGAUUACAAUAAUCUAAUCAUUCAUUAAUAAAGAACAAUGUUUUGUCAAACAAAACAUUCAUCCAUCCCUUAUAGUGAUGGAAUUAAAUUCCUUAAAAUUGGAAUGUAAAGACAAUCUUUGGUUUUUCCAAUUUCAUUGGUAGUUCAUAUGAGGAAGUAAGUACCAUUUGCUUUCGCAGAGAUCUACAUUUGAUUCACGUUCCGAAUGUGAAGUACUUUCUCUUCUCUCAUUAAUCUUCUACUUUUUAUUAGCCACACUUUUACAACGAUUGUAAAACAUAGUUACUAAUACGGAAUCAAGCAUUCAAGUAGAAGAACCAACUGUUUUGAACUUUUCAACAACAAUUUACAACACCUUCGAAAGGUGUGUUCUUGACACUUGCAAGACAUUUCUUGCAAAUACCCCUUCCAUUGUCCAUCCUUUCAUAAAGAAAGUUUGUUCCCUUGGAGUUUAUUUCGCUUUCUUCAUUUAACUUCUCCUUUGACUACAAUAGUCAUGGUCCCUAAACUCCCACUAUCUCUCUUGAAACUUAUUUCAAUUGUGU
rnacentral:lncRNA from 1 species